UCAGUCGACUCCUACGGGAGGCAGCAGUGAGGAAUAUUGGUCAAUGGAGGAACUCUGAACCAGCCAUCCCGCGUGUAGGAAGACGGCCUUAUGGGGUUGUAAACUACUUUUAUACAGGAAGAAACGUACCCUCGUGAGGGUGCCUGACGGUACUGUAGGAAUAAGCACCGGCUAACUCCGUGCCAGCAGCCGCGGUAAUACGGAGGGUGCGAGCGUUAUCCGGAUUUAUUGGGUUUAAAGGGUCCGUAGGCGGAUUAAUAAGUCAGUGGUGAAAUCCCAUCGCUUAACGAUGGAACUGCCAUUGAUACUGUUAGUCUUGAAUGAGGGUGCAGUGGUUGGAAUGUGUAGUGUAGCGGUGAAAUGCAUAGAUAUUACACAGAACACCGAUUGCGAAGGCAGAUCACUAACCCUAAAUUGACGCUGAGGGACGAAAGCGUGGGGAGCGAACAGGAUUAGAUACCCUGGUAG
rnacentral:rRNA from 1 species